rnacentral:rRNA from 1 species
CGCCGCGUGGGGGAGUGAAGGCCUUCGGUUGUAACCCUUUCAGCAGGGACGAAGCGAAAGUGACGGUACCUGCAGAAGAAGCGCCGGCUAACUACGUGC